rnacentral:rRNA from 1 species
UACGUAGGGUGCGAGCGUUAAUCGGAAUUACUGGGCGUAAAGCGUGCGCAGGCGGUUCGUUAAGUUCGUUGUGAAAGCCCCGGGCUCAACCUGGGAACUGCAAUGGAAACUGGCGGGCUUGAAUGCGGCAGAGGGGGGUGGAAUUCCGCGUGUAGCAGUGAAAUGCGCAGAUAUCGGGAGGAACACCGGUGGCGAAGGCGGUUCUCUGGGCCUGACCUGACGCUGAGGAGCGAAAGCGUGGGGAGCGAACAGG